UUGAAGGCAUGAGAGGUCAUGGAGAAC
rnacentral:piRNA from 1 species